rnacentral:rRNA from 1 species
CGGCGGACGGGUGAGUAACACGUGGAUAACCUACCUAUAAGACUGGGAUAACUUCGGGAAACCGGAGCUAAUACCGGAUAAUAUUUUGAACCGCAUGGUUCAAAAGUAAAAGACGGUCUUGCCGUCACUUAUAGAUGGAUCCGCGCUGCAUUAGUUAGUUGGUAAGGUAACGGCUUACCAAGGCAACGAUGCAUAGCCGACCUGAGAGGGUGAUCGGCCACACUGGAACUGAGACACGGUCCAG